GUCGGCAGCUAGCUCUCUGCAACUCUCACAUGGUCGCCCUCUGAAGCUAAACAGGGCUGCGCCUGAUCAGUACCUGGAUGGGAGACCAUAUGGGAAAGCUAGGUUGCUUCCGUAA
rnacentral:rRNA from 2 species